GUCCACGCCGUAAACGAUGAAUACUAGGUGUCGGGGGACAAAGUCCUUCGGUGCCGCCGCUAACGCAAUAAGUAUUCCACCUGGGGGAGUACGUUCGCAAGAAUGAAACUCAAAGGAAUUGACGGGGACCCGCACAAGCGGUGGAGCAUGUGGUUUUAAUUCGAAGCAACGCGAAGAACCUUACCAAGUCUUGACAUCCCAUUGAAAACACUUUAACCGGUGUCCCUCUUCGGAGCAAUGGAGACAGGUGGUGCAUGGUGUCGU
rnacentral:rRNA from 1 species